UAAAACCCAAAUGCGUUAAAGGACAGGAGAAUUGACAAAAAUGUGGGAAGUUUCAGGUAUAAGAAGAGGGUAAGGAGGCAGUGUGCAUGCCCCGUCAAAAAGCAACCUUACAUGAAAAUAAUACAACUUUGUUUCUUCUUAACAGAAUACAUCAGUGCCAGGCAGAAUGCAACAAGCAACUGCUAGUUUCUAAUCCUUGGACUAGACAAUAGAAGUAAACUAGAAUGGUAAAUACAGGAAUUAUUAAAGAGAACAUGGCCAUAAAUAUCCAGGAAAUAUAUACACUCAAAAAAGGAAUUUAUGUUUGAUAAGUACAUUAUUCAUAAUUAUUUAUACAUUUAACCCUAAACCAAAGCUUGUAUCACAUGAAAAGUGCAAAAUUAGCUGCAGAUGAAUAUCCCUGACCCAAUUAUACAAGACACUUUGGUAAAUCUGUGUAGACUAAAGGCUCUAAGAAGGUAGUUAAAUUUCAGAGGGGUAAAGGGGGAGAGAAUUUCAGAAAACGGAUUAUAAAGGAAUGAAAUAUUUGGAAGAGAUUGGUAAAAAGGAGAUACUUGAGAAGGUAAAUCUAAGUCACUAUAGAAAGAAUGUUGAAGAGAUGUGUCUUUACCAGCUGGGCCCUCUGUAGAAGAGUUGAAAAUAACCCACAGCAAUAGUGAUGUGACGGCUGCCUCAUCUGAGAAGAGAGAUCAACUGCAGCCACCUCAAAGAGGUAAAACGUAGAUGUGUAAUAGGAGUGAGUGAGGAGAGAAGAAUGCAUAACUGGUAUCAUAAGAGGAUAUCCAAAGGUUUGUAAGAAACCAAGGACAAGAGCAGAAAACAGUAGGUCACGCUAUAAGGAACCAAGUCUUCUCUUCCUUGCAGAUAGUCUAUCUGCUUCUCUCUGGGCAUCAUCUCAGAUGCUGACUGCUUUUUCUGGAUGUUCCCUCUCCGGGCCCAGACGCUGUCUCAGAAUUUUUUAGACCAGCUCCCAUGGGUUACUGGCAAUAACCACCAUGGCCCCUCAGACUUCACCCACCACAUCUAUGCAGGUGCUUGAGAAUACACACUCCUUGACCUAAGAAAGCAAACUCUGUAGACAUUUAAGGGACUUAGCAAUUCAAAGGAGGGAAGCCAGAAUGGAGAGAUGGGCAACUUUUACCAAAGCCAAAUUAAUGGAAGAAACAAUAAAAAAAAUGUAGUAAGAAUGUUUAAGGGGAUUCACAUGGAGGAUAACUACAAAAAUUGGAGGAGAAGCUGCCUAUGAGAAACAUGAAAUCUGGGCUUAGGCUCCAAAAGGAAGUAAAAUGAAUAGCUAGUAUUAAAAACAAAGUAGAGCUUGAGUGGCCAAGGCAAGAUGGGUCAAAGUCAGAGUGGUGGUCAUGGUCCUGGAGGUGGCAAGAAGGAUGACAAGGACAAGAAAAAGAAAUACGAACCUCCUGUACCAACUAGAGUGUGGAAAAAGAAGAAGAAAACAAAGGGACCAAAUGCUGCCAGCAAAUUGCCACUGGUGACACCUCACACUCAGUGCUGGUUAAAAUUACUGAAGUUAGAAUUAAAGACUACCUUCUCAUGGAGGAAGAAUUCAUUAGAAAUCAGGAACAAAUGAAACCACUAGAAGAAAAACAAGAGGAGGAAAGAUCGAUCAAAAGUGGAUGAUCUGAGGGGCACCCUGGUGUCAGCAGGAACCUUGGAAGAGAUCAUCGAUGACAGUCAUGCCAUCCUGUCUAAAUCUGUGGACUCAGAACACUACAUCAGCAUUCUGUCAUUUGUAGACAAGGAUCUGCUGGAACCUGGCUGCUAAGUCCUGCCCAACCACAAGGUGCAUGCCGUGAUAGGGGUGCUGAUGGAUGACACGGAUCCCCUGGUCACAGUGAUGAAGGUGGAAAAGGCCCCCCAGGAGACAUAUGCCGAUAUUGGGGGCUUAGACAACCAAAUUCAGGAAAUUAAGGAAUCUGUGGAGCUUCCUCUUACCCGCCCUGAAUAUUAUGAAGAGAUGGGUAUAAAGCCUCCUAAGGGGGUCAUUCUUUACGGUCCACCUGGCACAGGUAAAACCUUGUUAGCCAAAGCAGUAGCAAACCAAACCUCAGCCACUUUCUUGAGUGGUUGGCUCUGAACUUAUUCAGAAGUACCUAGUUGACAGGCCCAAACUCGUACAGGAACUGUUUCGAGUUGCUGAAGAACAUGCACCGUCCAUCGUGUUUACUGAUGAAAUUGACGCCAUUGGGACAAAAAGAUAUGACUCAAAUUCUGGUGGUGAGAAAUUCAGCAAACAAUGUUGGAACUUCUGAACCAGUUGGAUGGAUUUGAUUCUAGGGCAGAUGUGAAAGUUAUCAUGCCCACAAACCGAAUAGAAACUUUGGAUCCAGAACUUUUCAGACCAGGCCGCAAUGACAGGAAGAUCAAGUUCCCCCUGCCUGAUGAAAAGACUAAGAAGCGCAUCUUUCAGAAUCACACAAGCAGGAUGACGCUGGCCGAUGAUGUAACCCUAGAUGACUUGAUCAUGGCUAAAGACGACCUCUCUGGUGCUGACAUGAAGGCAAUCUGUACAGAAGCUGGUCUGAUGGUCUUAACAGAAUGUAGAAUGAAAGUAACAAAUGAAGACUUCGAAAAAUCUAAACAAAAUGUUCUUUAUGAGAAACAGGAAGGAACCCCUGAGGGGCUGUAUCUCUAGUGAACCACAGCUGCCAUCAGGAAAAUGGGAGAUUUCUCCAUCUCUGAAAGGGAUGAGGUUGGUGGAGUUGCCCAGAGGAAUCCCUGUUCCCAUUGCUUUUUAUUAGCAAAACAUCCUGUGUCUUUUGGAGUACGAUGUGUAAGUGCCCAUUGGGUGGCCUUCAUCUGUCGGUCACUGUGCAGCAGUCUGCUUCUCAAUAAAGUGUGCUCUUUCACACA